GGAAAUGGCGCAGCCUGAUCCAGCCAUGCCGCGUGAGUGAUGAAGGCCCUAGGGUUGUAAAGCUCUUUCACCGGUGAAGAUAAUGACGGUAACCGGAGAAGAAGCCCCGGCUAACUUCGUGCCAGCAGCCGCGGUAAUACG
rnacentral:rRNA from 1 species